rnacentral:rRNA from 1 species
AGGGAAUAUUGCGCAAUGGGGGAAACCCUGACGCAGCGACGCCGCGUGAGCGAUGAAGGCCUUCGGGUCGUAAAGCUCUGUCGUAUGGGAAUAAUUUUGAAUGUACCAUAUAAGAAAGGAUCGGCUAACUUCGUGCCAGCAGCCGCGGUAAGACGAGGGAUCCUAGCGUUGUUCGGAAUCAUUGGGCGUAAAGCGGGUGUAGGUUGCUUUUUAAGUCAGUUGUGAAAGCCUAGGGCUCAACCCUAGAAGUGCAUCUGAUACUAUUAAGCUUGAGUGUGGGAGAGGCUAUUAGAAUUCCUGGUGUAGUGGUGAAAUACGUAGAUAUCAGGAGGAAUACCGGUUGCGAAGGCGGAUAGCUGGCCCAACACUGACACUAAGACCCGAAAGCGUGGGGAUCAAACAGGA